AGACUUCGGUGGAUUUGAUCCAUUUCUAGUGGCGGACGGGUGAGUAACGCGUGGGUAACCUGCCUUAUACAGGGGGAUAACAGUCAGAAAUGACUGCUAAUACCGCAUAAGCGCACAGAGCUGCAUGGCUCAGUGUGAAAAACUCCGGUGGUAUAAGAUGGACCCGCGUUGGAUUAGCUAGUUGGUGAGGUAACGGCCCACCAAGGCGACGAUCAGUAGCCGGCCUGAGAGGGUGACCGGCCACAUUGGGACUGAGACAUGGCCCAAACUCC
rnacentral:rRNA from 1 species